UAAAAAGGGAUAUUUUCCGGAAAUUUACCUACUUUGACUUUAUAUUUUAUACUAUGAAUUUAACUUCCUGGAAAAAAUGUAAAUAAUGUUGAAACUUUGUUUUGAAGGUAAUCUUAGAAACGUAUUAAAUACGCAUCAAAAUUGACCAGUCAAGGUACAGUAGGAUGGAUAUAUAAUACGUUUAUCCUACAACGCAUGCUUUAUCCAUCAUACAUCUAUUUGUAAACAAAGGCCCUACUAAGGUCAACAUCUAGUACGAGUGUACAUUUUACUCUUUAUGUAUAUAUAUAAUAUUAGCUCAGCAUGUAUGAGCCAGUUGUGGUUGGAACUGACAAAUGUAAAUGGUAUGGCAAAAUAUGAGGCCAUAAAUAUAUCAUACAUGUAUAUAUUAUAUUCAAUCAUGUAGGUCUUCAUAGCAAGUUUGCCACUCUAGUAUCAUUGCUAUUGGAAAUUGUCCUGUAUCACCAAGAUUGUAAUUCUAUUCUGAAGAGUUUUUUGUCAGGUUUGGUUAUUGACAUAUGCCACACCUCCUUUUAUAAAUAAAAGUUGAUAAAAAAAGUUUUGUGUUGAAAGUUAUGACAAUGACUUAAUGGACAUGCCAAAUUAAACCCUGAAGGUAUCCAAAAUAUUGAAAAGGUGGAACCAAAUAUUAUGAAAAUCAGGGUAUAUUUUGUGUUGGUUAUUUUGUUUACACCUUACAAAUGAACAUGUACUUAAAAAGACAAAAAAAUGUGUAUGGCAAUAAAACAAACUAUGUCACUUUUGUUUGAAAUUUACCAUAACCAAUACAUUUAAAAUUCAAGAAACAUUAUGCAAGGAAUGCAACAUUACAUUUUUUUCUCUUGUGCCAUUACAAUGACUAUAAACAGAUCAUAAACUGGUAAAUUUAAGAUAUUGACUUCAGAAUGAAAAGAUUGUAGUUGCUGGUGCAAGUAUGUUUAUUGGUAUAUUUGUAUAAAGCUGUGUUUUACUAUACAUGAUAAAUUUCAAAACAUAUAGAUAGUUUGCAGUGGCAGAUCCCAAAAGAGGGUGAUGAAAACGCCUAUUUGGGGGGAUGAUCAAUGCUUUGAAUAAGAACAUACAGAACCCCUCCCCCUUUAUGUUUGGCUGGAACCCCUUUAAAAUGGAUGGAUCUGCCCCUGGUAUGUACCCAUAGGUAGUCUAGUGAAUAGUUUACAUGCAUGAAAUAUCUGUCACUGGACAUUAAGCAACCAAUAAUCAAUUCAUUCAUGACGAAAUAUAUCGAAGGUUUCAUGGUUUACUCUAUUUUUGUGUAAAAGUAAUUACAUGGAAGAUAAUAUAAAUGAUUUCAAUUUAAGAUGGCACUGUACUCUAAUCAAGUUAUAAUGAACUACAGUGCAUAUUUGUUACUCUUUAUUUAAUUGAAAAACACUUUUAAUUGUCAAAAACAUUUUUUGAUCCAAAGAUUAAAUAGUGGGAUGUUUAAAAUUUAAUUUGAAAACUAAUUACAAACUAUUUAGUUUAAUUUGGAACACAACAUUUUUUUCAAAAUAGCCAGUAGAUUUUUAUUUCAAUAUCUUGAUUACGAUACAAUGAAACUUAUCCUUGUGGUCAUUCAUGCGUAGUUACUUAGUAACACUUUAAGCAAUUUGAUUGGACGAGAAGUUGUAAGUAUGUGCUAACCUAAACACUCAGUGCAUCAAUGUGAAGCAUUACAGAACUCUCAACUCUUUACAUGUGCCAAUUAAAAAACAAGAAGACAUACCAGGUACACUGUAUAAUGACUCUAACUCAAUCAUUACUUUUUUUUUUCAGAUUGUAUACCAAGAUGAAAGAUGACAAAAACAUUUGAAUUAUUGGCCGGUUGGACAUUGAUCACAGUGACCUCUAUAGCUUACAUCUAUUACAUAGUUUGGGUUAUUGUUCUGGUAAGAUAUACUGUAAAUUCUUAUAAUAUUGAGUUGUUUUUAUUGUGAUUAAUUUGACUGGCAAUACAGUGUUAUUACUCUAGCAUUUUUGUUCAUUCUUUUGAAAAAGGUCACAACAAGAAAUGCAGCAAUAAUUUCUGAAUUUUCACUAUGGAAAAUUUCUCAAAUUUUAACGCUUCUAACAUAUGAACAUAUUGAUGAAAAUGAUAAUCCUAUGAUAUUCGCACCAUUGGUAUAUAAGGAAAUGUUUGGCUAACAGUUUAAAAAAUUGUAAAAGUAAGAAAAGUUGUAAGUGAAUUAACAUUUUGCUAAUUAAAAAGGAUAAAAGUCAGUACUUUGAGGAGUUUCUCUGUCAAACUAUGUAUCUCAUUAUGUGGACUUAUAAGUGAGUCUAAUGUACAUUCAUUUAAAGCAAAACCAGAAGUCCCAUCACACAUUUUUAGGUUACAGGACUUAGAAAUCAAUAGACAACUUUCGAGUUCGAUGCAUUUCCGUCAAAAACUCUGGUUUUAGUGAACGUCAUUUGUGCGUUUAGGGGCGUCGUCACUUCCGUUUCAAUGUUGAGCGAGUGUUGAAAACUAUAAUUCUAUAUUGUACGAAUUAUUCAGCAAAUUAAAUUCUCAAAAUUGACAAUCAGCACUGCUGUCAUUAGGGAAUUGUCAUUAAGUACCUACAGAACAACCAUUAUUUCUAGUUUAUCCUGCACAACGACAAUCACUAAGACACUUGAUGAACGUAAAUAGUGCAGGGAUACAGGCGAUCCCCUCUAUCUGGUAAAUGACGUCAUAAAGGCGCGCAUAAUUGACGAGUUUUUGCCGGUGACGGAUGAACUCGAAAGUGGUCUAUUGAUUCAAAACAUGGUGAAAGUAGCAUAUGCUUAUACAACAUAACAAAUACCAGUAACUAUAAAAAGACCUCCAAAAAAUUGAACAUUAAUUUAAUAGGUGGAGCACAAAAGUAAACACAUCUAUUUUAUAUUUUUUUUACCUGAAUAUUAAAUUAAAAUGGCUAUUUAUAGCUAUGAUAAAACACAUAUUGUUUAUGUAAUCAUUGUUAUUUUCAGCCCUUUGUUGACAAAGAUCAAAUCUUCCACCAAGUCUUUCCAGACCACAAAUAUGCAUUAGGUAUUCCAUUGCUGAUGGGUGUCACUGGAUUAGCUGUUAUAGGUAAAUAUAUUUUCAUUUAUUUAAAAUCUAAUGUCAUAUUGUUAAAAACAUUUUUUUUGGUUUUUUUUUGCCAUUUUUUAAAACAAGAUUUAUUGUUCUGUUUGAUUUUGAAGUUAUUGGCACAGUUCUAGAUUAUUUCAUAACUUUUUAAUUUAUAUUCAGCCUAAAACAAAGCUAAUUAUUCUCUAUAAAUGAAUUAUAUAACCAUCAUCAAGACAUGCAUUUUUUUGAAACCUUGAAAGGUUUAACUUUACAUGCUUUAAAUAAAGAAAUGAAUGUGUGCUGUUCAUACAAGACAAUUAGUACUUUGUUAUUCUUUCCCCUCAGAAUCCAUGAAAUUUUAUAUCAUUAUGAAUAGAACUGUAAAUUCAGAAAUAAUUUGGAUGUUCUUAUUGUCAGAUUGGAAUAAUGAUGGAAAUGAGAAAUAAAAUGUUCAAAUAUUUCUUGCUGCUUUGAAAACCCAUUAGUGGCCUUCAGCUGUUGUCUGCUCUUUGAUUGCGUUGUUUUCUCUUUGAAACAUUCCCAAUUUCCAUUCUCAAUUUUUUAAUAAUAAAAUACGGAUUCAUGUUGGUGGGAUAGCCAUUCAAUUCCUGAGUGUAACAACCCACCUUAACAAUAUACAAUGUGUAUAAAAAGAAGAUGUGGUAAUGAUUGCCAAUGAGACAACUAUCCACAAAAGACCAAAAUGACACAGACAUUAACAACUAUAGUGGUCAACGUACGGCCUUCAAAAAUGAGCAAAGCCCAAUACUGCAUAGUCAGCUAUAAAAGGCCCGAUAAGACAAUGUAAAACAAUUCAAACGAGAAAACUAACGGCCUUAUUUAUGUAAAAAAAUGUAGUAUGUUUCUUUAAUAAAGCACUAUUGAACAACUGGGAUUAGCCCAUUUUGCCUUUUUCAAUAAUGUUUAAAUAAACAACUGUAAGGAGAAUCUGGUUAAUCCAUUACUAUGUUUGUUAUUGUAGGUCUAUUUGUAUUGCUGACUUGCAGAGGACAGAGAGUUAAAUCAAACUGACAGAUUGGUCUUUACAGCUGAUCUAACAGAAUGUACAACAGAUAUUCACUGAAACAUUAACGUCUUAUUAUAGUGCAAUAUUCUUUUAUUUUUCAAUAAAAUAUUUGACAUGAACACGUUCACUGUAUAGCGAUUGAAGUGUUGAACACAAAUAUAUAUGACAUUUAGAGUUUGAGCAAUAUUAAAUAAUACACAGGUACGCUGUACAUGUAUUGGUAAUUUAAUCAACAUUUCUAUCUUUAAAGUAGGUUAAAAUAUACAAAAUGCAGCGAAAUGCCUUUAUGAAAACCCGGUCAUUUUGGUGUUGGAAAGGACAAAAAGUGACUGCAUAACUCGUCUUGGUGUUUCUAAUGGCUGUUGUGAUUCUUCUGUAAGAAAAAAUAUUAUAUAUGAACAUAUUUAUGUGAAAGAAGAACUACAUAAAACAUGUUAUAUGUUUAAGUUCAAG
rnacentral:lncRNA from 1 species